AGCGAACGCUGGCGGCAGGCCUAACACAUGCAAGUCGAACGAACCUUUCGGGGUUAGUGGCGGACGGGUGAGUAACCCGUUGGAACGUGCCUUUAGGUUCGGAAUAACUCAGGGAAACUUGUGCUAAUACCGAAUGUGCCCUUCGGGGGAAAGAUUAAUCGCCUUUAGAGCGGCCCGCGUCUGAUUAGCUAGUUGGUUGAGGUAAUGGCUCACCAAGGCGACGAUCAGUAGCUGGUCUGAGAGGAUGAUCAGCCACAUUGGGACUGAGACACGGCCCAAACUCCUACGGGAGGCAGCAGUGGGGAAUCUUGCGCAAUGGGCGAAAGCCUGACGCAGCCAUGCCGCGUGAAUGAUGAAGGUCUUAGGAUUGUAAAAUUCUUUCACCGGGGACGAUAAUGACGGUACCCGGAGAAGAAGCCCCGGCUAACUUCGUG
rnacentral:rRNA from 1 species